AUACGUUGGUGGCGAGCGUUAUCCGGAUUUACUGGGUGUAAAGGGCGUGUAGGCGGGUUUGCAAGUCGGAUGUGAAAUUUAUGGGCUUAACCCAUAACCUGCAUUUGAAACUACAUGUCUUGAGUGAUGGAGAGGUAAGUGGAAUUCCUAGUGUAGCGGUGGAAUGCGUAGAUAUUAGGAGGAACACCAGUGGCGAAGGCGACUUACUGGACAUUAACUGACGCUGAGGCGCGAAAGCGUGGGGAGC
rnacentral:rRNA from 1 species